CCCUUUCACCCUUGAUCCAUUCAUACUGGUAUUUGUCUGGACUGGGGUUCUUAAUCACACGAUCAUCUUGGAUUCACCUGGGCUUUUGAAGCAAUCUUGGCACUGACUUACUUUAUCCCUGAGAGUAUUACUGAAACUAUUUUAAAAGGAUGAUAUUCAGUAUAACAGCUGAAACACAAAAUAGUACAGAUAAUCUAUUAUCUAUAGAUUUAUGGAAACUACUAAACAUGACCUACAAGCAUGCUUCCAAUUACGUACCGUAUUUCUAAUUCUCCAAUAUAUAACUGUUAAAGUAUGACAAAUUACAUUGUGGCAUAUAAAAGAAUUAAUAUCCACUAAAGCCAAAUCUAAAUCACCCAACAUAGGCUAAACUUAAUCUGCUAGACAUUACUAAUCACCUCUUUUACUUCAUCACCCCACCCCUAACACAGCCCACACAGGACUCUUCUUAUACAUGUACAGAUAAAAAGAAAAACACCCC